AUACUUGCCUGGUAGGGGAGCCACCAUGAUCAGUCAGGUGGCGUUCCCAGGGCAAGGCUCAUCCCCUGCCCUUCAGUUGUGCUGAGCUUUACACUCUGUCUUUUUGCAGUUGGACCAGGUGACCAUUGUAGGACCCUUCCAAG
ensembl:snRNA U1 U1 spliceosomal RNA